CUGCCCAACACGGUAAGUUCAUUUAAUCCUGAUUUCAUUUAAACACCAGAGGCUGUGCGGUGGUUAUACUAAUUUUGGAGAUGUGGAAACUGAGGCUCAGAGAGACUUUGAUCAGCCAGUGACUAGCCAAGCUAAGACUGAAAUGAGGGCCUCCAUCCUGCCCAGCCUGAAGGUCUUCCUCUGAGGCUGUGAGCCAAAGGGAAAAACAAACAGAGGAAAUAAUUCCUGAAGCGACUUGGGUAAUUCAGGAAGAGAAGGCUGCUAUUUAGGAAAUAUUUAGGAUUCGGACUCUAGUCUCAACCCUCUGAGUGUAGACAUGGCUCCUGAGGUCCUGGGCUAGUUUCUAGAAAGCUGAUUUCUGCCUUGGGAAAUAGUGAGCUGUAUGAAAUGCAGAAACUGUGUAGGAGUUCACAAGCAGCAACCGACAGAGCUAAAUGUUCGCAGCUGGCAUUCAAUAAAAGUCUGGGCACGGCAUUGAUCGGUGAGGCCCGUGGCUCCACGUGGCCUCCCUGAAAACAACGCCCAGUUACGGCACAGGGAGUCCAUCCCUUCUUCAGACGGGGUGCAGGCGCAGGCAGGGUUUUCAAGUGCAAGAAAAAGAUCAGAGCAGGCACAGCAGUGGGGGCUGUGUUCAGGUGGCCAGGAGGGAAGGUGGGAUGAGUCAGACACAAGAUUUCAUACCCGAAGACAUCAGGGAUUGGAAAAGGCCCGGGGCUCCUCCCAUUCGAGAAAUCCUCACCUUCCCAGGUGGCCCGGGACAAGGCUCGGCAGCCCUCUGUGUCCCUGUACAACUUCUGCCUUCAUCACCGCAAUCUCUGCCCAUGUUCCAGAGCCUUGGGUCUUGCGCCUGGUGACUCCUUAGGUAAUGGGACUUCCUGAGCAGGUGAGCAUGCUGGGAGGGCCCUGAGAACAAGUCCAGGCCUUCUCUGAGCAGAAGGCAGGCUUGUACGUGGGCACGACCUUCAGCGUUGAGGAGGUGAGCAGAGGCCAGGAAGCGGAUGUCAGUGGCCUGGACAAGGCUCUGUGACCCCCAGGCCCUUCCCUGCCUGCCUACCAACCGAUGUCUUAAAAUCCACCCUCCAGCCUGUUCCAUCAUGGUACUUCCUCAUUUUCAGGCCGUCAUGGAGGCCUCUUCGUUUUCAGAAGACUGCUUCUAAUUUUUUUUUUUUCUCUCUCUCCCUCUCUCUCCCUUAGGAACCAUGGUUGUGUUGCGCUUUAAACCUUUCAGCAGUUUUGUUCCACGUGUGCAUCAAAACAUCCGACAGGUUAUAAUUAGCAGCAACACAUGGAAAACAUCACGAUGGUCACCUCCCACGCCCGCCCCACUGCUGGCCUGACCAGAGGUCACUUUCAAGCCUGUUGGUGAGCCUGGGGUGGUCAGAUUCUUUCCUAAAAUCAGAGAAUCGACGAGCCUCCCAGGCUCCUCCUGCCCUGCCUGCCUAGGAUUUAAAGGGGAUGGACUAGUAAGAAACGACAAACUUCGCCAGCUUGACAACGCUGCAGUGGUGUAUUCUGUGUCUGCCUUACACAUCUACUUUCUUGUUUGAGGAACAGCAACAGAAAUGAUUGUGUGUGUGUUCUCAGGACAGUAUCAGGGGAGCUGGCCCAGCCUCUGUCUCUGACCGCCUCCCCACCACGUGUAGAUCUGGGUGCCCUGUGUGCUCAGGGAGCCCCUAUCGGGAUGGAGAGCCAAAGGCCAGAGACGUCCUUGAGAGAGACCCAGCAGGGGCCACCCCAGAACGCCCCACCUUCCAGCCCAGUGCCUCUGCCUGAGGUGCUUUCACUCUGGCCGUUCCCUCUUCCCAGAUCCUUUCUUGGCUCCUUGUUGCCAUCUGGUGCUUAGUACAGAUGUUGCCUCCGCAAGGAGGCCCUCCCAGACCUCCUGCCCCUAAGCGCCCGGCUCUCUCACCUUAUUUUCUUUUCUUCCCUGCCGGUAUCAUCAUCUGGGGCUUACCAUUUUUCUUCCUGCCGUCUCUUCUCCAGAGCAGAAGCUGGGUGCUGUGACAGCAGGGACCUCUCCCUGCAGUUUCCGCUCAGAACAAUGGUAAGCACAGGACUCGGCACCCACGGCAGGAAGCCGGUCCCUGUCUGUGGAAUGGGCAGGAUGAAGGAGAGACUAGCUUUAGACACGGGCCAUGCUGAGCCCGCAGCUGAGCCAAGACACCAAGGUUCCAGGCUGUGAGACUGGACAGUUACACAGUUACAUGCCCUCCCCUGGCCUCACCCCCAGAGAUGCUUUCCCGAGAUUACCCUCAUAAUUCUGCAUGGCAGUUGGAUACUUUCUAGUGUUGGCAAAGUGAUCCAAUGAAAAAUAGCUCUUUGAGAACCCUAGAUUAUCUCUCAAAUUCCUCAAAAAAAAAAAAAAAAUCUAGUUGAUUGAAGGAUAAGGGUGGAGUAGAGGGUAGUUUUUAAGACACAUACUCAUUGUGGUUGCCUCACUUCUCUCGUUCUCUGGGCUCCGAGCACUCGGGUCUCUCUCGCUCUGUGUGCCUAUCCUUUGACAGGUCGGCCAGCCCUGGACUCCAGCUGGUUGACCUGGGCGAGGCAGCCAGCCUUCUCUUCCUUCUCCUCCCUUCAUGGAGCAGGUUUGCUACCCGGUCUCUGCUGUUCUUUCUGACAAGAGCGCGCCAGCUUUCCUGGGGAAGGAAGCCUUCUUCCCACUCCCAGACCUUGCCCCGGGGGCCAGUUGUCACAUUCCGUGCCCGCCCCCGGCCACAGUAAAGGUUUAGAGGUGCCACAGACUGGGCCCAAGAGAGGGGAGCCACCAGGAUCUGAACUGGAGCCACAGGGACGGGCUCUGGCUUCUGCCUGUCCUGGGCAUUGGGGGCGGAACGCUGGCUGUGACACGUGGAGUCGGUGCCCAGAGGAAGGGGCGAGGCCCUGAGGCAGCCCAGCUUGGGCCUCAGCCCUUUAGGACAGCGAGCUUCCUACCAUGCUCAAGCAAGUUCUGCCACAUGCUGCCAAAGGCCCUUGACCCAUGUCCUGUGCAGACAUGUCCUGGGGAUACAGAGCUGCAUGGAAGAGACCCCCAGCUCCACAGGUAUGUGGAGUGAUUGUACCCAAGGACUGUGGUGACCUUGGUCACCCACGUUAGCCAGCAGCCAUGAUUGUGUACCCACAGAGCCUUGCUAGACCCUGGGUGUGGCUGUAAAGAUGUCCUGACCUCUAGGUUCCCAAGGUCCAGAGGCCUGACUAUGAAAAGGAUGUGUGUGGGCUGGCCUGAGGAAGAGCUGGGGGCCUAGAAAGCACCCCACACCCAGGCACACCAGGCCCUCUGGCCUGUGAAUCUUCCUGUACCUGCAUCCCACUGUCUUUGUCAGCCAGGUUCUCAGAGUGGCCCCGGGGGAGGCAGUGGGACCGAGACGUCCCAGUCAGCACCCCCACUGCCACCCCGUGUCAAUCUGCGCUGAUGGCAACGAGCGCAUCUUUGUCUGGGUGGAGGCUCAUCUUCACACUCUGGAGCGUGGAGGGUAAGCACCUUAAGCUGCAAAUACUGUUAUCCAUGAUAGGUUGGCAAAUAUUCUCAGAUUGAGUGCCAAACUUUAGAAUUAUGUCAGUGAAUCCUUGAGCUUUCCGCCAUCAUUGUUCUUGCUUUGUCCUUAUGCAAGGAGGCCCCAGAGUGGGAGGGCCUGUGUGCAGUCUGACUUCCCUCCAUUGAAAGAAUUGCCUCACUCAUUUCCCAACCCUGAGAGGCUGCUCACCACCUUCAGAGGCAGAAAGCAUUGCCUGGCGGGGCUGUUCUGACUGGCAGGGGAUGUUUCAGGUGACUUAGCCCCAUCUGCCCAUCUUGUGUGCUGACAGCAUGCGUUCAUAUAGCCAUUCAAUAAAUUUCCUCACUCAUUUACUGGGUACCUGACCCUUUGU
rnacentral:lncRNA from 1 species